rnacentral:rRNA from 1 species
UUUGAUCCUGGCUCAGGACGAACGCUGGCGGCGUGCUUAACACAUGCAAGUCGAACGAUGAAGCCCUUCGGGGUGGAUUAGUGGCGAACGGGUGAGUAACACGUGGGCAAUCUGCCCUGCACUCUGGGACAAGCCCUGGAAACGGGGUCUAAUACCGGAUGACACUUUCUCUCGCAUGGGAGAAGGUUGAAAGCUCCGGCGGUGCAGGAUGAGCCCGCGGCCUAUCAGCUAGUUGGUGAGGUAGAAGCUCACCAAGGCGACGACGGGUAGCCGGCCUGAGAGGGCGACCGGCCACACUGGGACUGAGACACGGCCCAGACUCCUACGGGAGGCAGCAGUGGGGAAUAUUGCACAAUGGGCGAAAGCCUGAUGCAGCGACGCCGCGUGAGGGAUGACGGCCUUCGGGUUGUAAACCUCUUUCAGCAGGGAAGAAGCGCAAGUGACGGUACCUGCAGAAGAAGCGCCGGCUAACUACGUGCCAGCAGCCGCGGUAAUACGUAGGGCGCAAGCGUUGUCCGGAAUUAUUGGGCGUAAAGAGCUCGUAGGCGGCUUGUCACGUCGGUUGUGAAAGCCCGGGGCUUAACCCCGGGUCUGCAGUCGAUACGGGCAGGCUAGAGUGUGGUAGGGGAGAUCGGAAUUCCUGGUGUAGCGGUGAAAUGCGCAGAUAUCAGGAGGAACACCGGUGGCGAAAGGCGGAUCUCUGGGCCAUUACUGACGCUGAGGAGCGAAAGCGUGGGGAGCGAACAGGAUUAGAUACCCUGGUAGUCCACGCCGUAAACGGUGGGAACUAGGUGUUGGCGACAUUCCACGUCGUCGGUGCCGCAGCUAACGCAUUAAGUUCCCGCCUGGGGGAGUACGGCCGCAAGCUAAACUCAAGGAUUGACGGGGGCCCGCACAGCAGCGAGCAUGUGCUAUCGACGCACGCGAGACUACAGGCUGACAUCGCCGAAGCGUAAAGAUACCGCCCCCUUGUGGUCGGUGACAGUUGGUGCCAUGCCUGUUCGUCAGUCUGUCUGGGAAGUUGGGUUAAGUCCCGCAACGAGCGCAACCCUUGUUCUGUGUUGCCAGCAUGCCCUUCGGGGUGAUGGGGACUCACAGGAGACUGCCGGGGUCAACUCGGAGGAAGGUGGGGACGACGUCAAGUCAUCAUGCCCCUUAUGUCUUGGGCUGCACACGUGCUACAAUGGCAGGUACAAUGAGCUGCGAAGCCGCGAGGCGGAGCGAAUCUCAAAAAGCCUGUCUCAGUUCGGAUUGGGGUCUGCAACUCGACCCCAUGAAGUCGGAGUUGCUAGUAAUCGCAGAUCAGCAUUGCUGCGGUGAAUACGUUCCCGGGCCUUGUACACACCGCCCGUCACGUCACGAAAGUCGGUAACACCCGAAGCCGGUGGCCCAACCCCCUUGUGGGGAGGGAGCUGUCGAAGGUGGGACUGGCGAUUGGGACGAAGUCGUAACAAGGUAGCCGUACCAGAAGGUGCGGCUGGAUCACCUCCU